rnacentral:rRNA from 1 species
GUAUAAAACAACCUCCGAAUGAUUUAAAUCAAGACUUACCAGUCAAAAGUAUUACAUCACUUAUUGAUCCAAAUAAUCAUUUGAUCAACGGAACA